AUGCUUCUCCUAAAGACUAAGCCAUGCAUGUCUUCGAAUAAGAGGAAGCAAUUCUCUCUGAAUCUGCGAACGGCUCCGCAAACCAGUUGUAAACCAUAGCAAGCAUGCUCCGGGAAAGCCGCAAGGCCGACCCGGGGCUACAAGGAUAACCCCGGUAAUUCUGAGGCUAAUACAUGAACGUAACCCCCUGGUCGAUGGGCAACCUGAGGCUGGGGACCGUGCGAGACCUCGCAAAAAUAUAUCGGAGUAGUCG
rnacentral:rRNA from 1 species